rnacentral:RNase_P_RNA from 1 species
GAUGUAAGCUAUCUUAUCGCUGCCUGCUCGCCUUAAAGCAGCAGGGAGAGGAAAGUCCGGGCAACACAGAGCAGCGUACUUCCUAACUGGAAGGCACUUGCCGGGUAACUGACAAGUGACAGACAGUGCCACAGAAAAUAUACCGCCGGAUUCCGGUAAGGGUGAAAAGGUGAGGUAAGCGCUCACCGCGUAACCGGUGACGGUUAUGGCAGGGUAAACCUUACGUGUUGAAAGACCAAAUAAGCUGGUGCCUCCAUGAUCUGAUCACGGAGAAAGGGCUGCUCGUCCAAUGCCAGCGGGUAGGUCGAUAGAGCUUUUCUGUGAAGAAAAGCCUAGAUAAAUGAUAAGAAUCCCUAUCUUUGGGAUACAGAACCCGGCUUAUCAGCUUACAUCAAUU